AGUGAACGCUGGCGGUAGGCCUAACACAUGCAAGUCGAACGGCAGCACAGUAAGAGCUUGCUCUUACGGGUGGCGAGUCGCGGACGGGUGAGGAAUACAUCGUAAUCUACUUUUUCGUGGGGGAUAACGUAGGGAAACUUACGCUCAUACCGCAUACGACCUACGGGUGAAAGCAUGGGAUCUUCGGACCUUGCGCGAUUGAAUGCGCCGAUGUCGGAUUAGCUAGUUGGCGGGGUAAAGGCCCACCAAGGCGACGAUCCGUAGCUGGUCUGAGAGGAUGAUCAGCCACACUGGAAGUGAGACACGGUCCAGACUCCUACGGGAGGCAGCAGAGGGGAAUAGUAGACAAUGGGCGGAAGCCUGAUACAGCCAUACCGCGUGGGUGGAGAAGGCCUUCGGGUUGUAAAGCCCUUUUGUUGGGAAAGAAAAGCAGCAGGUUAAGACCCCGCGGUUCUGACGGUACCCAAAGAAUAAGCACCGGCUAACUUCGUG
rnacentral:rRNA from 1 species